CCAACGCUACACAUGGGGCACUCCGAAAUCCGAACAUCACAUUCAGACCGUCACAGGAGGCGAACACAACGUCAACAAAAUAAAGUACUAUUUGGAGGCUUUGACAAUGGAGCAGCAGAGUGUGAAGGUGAAGCCUCAGCAGAAGUUACCACAGAAGAGCAGCCAGAGAUGGACACCACCGAAGAGCAACACCAUAACAACCUUGUUAUUUUGGCUGAGGGACAAAUUUGUGCUGGACAAGUAGAAGCAGAGGUAACGGGUGCUGAUGCAGAAAACAUUGAUAUCAGAGAGAAACAGACAGAAGAUCAACAACUGACAAAUGAUUGUGUGCACUGUGUACAGAGCAGAGCAGAAAUAAACCGGCUGCUGGAGGAGAACAGAAAGCUUAAAUCAAAGUUGGACAAGACAGAGCUGAAUGAAAACUUUUUAAAGGGUGACACGGAAAAAGUGAAAUAUUACACCGGUUUUACUUGUUUUGCUAUUUUUAUGUCCGUGCUCGAGAAUGUAAAAGCUUUCCU